CGUGAGGGAAAGAUGAAAAAUACCGUAAGGAUAAGAACAAUUAUACGUUGUUAUUACAUAAAUUAAAUGUCUAAAUUUUAUUUGGAGUUUUGGAAUUAUUCAAAAUAACAAAGUGCCUUUUGCAUAAUGAGUCAGUAAGUUGAUAUCAUACAGCAAGUUUAAAUAAUCAUACAAAGACAAAUAAAAGUUGUAUGUAUCAAACCUGAAGCCAAGUGAUCUAACUAUGAACAGGUUGAAAAUUCAGUAACAUGUCUUGGAAGACCGAACCCGUGUAUGUAGCAAAAUGCUGGGAAGAUUUGUGGUUAGGGGUGAAAGGCCAAUCAAACUUGGCGAUAGCCGGUUUUUCACGAAAUGUAUUUAAGUACUACGUUAUCAAGGUAAGUUUUAGGUAUAGUAACAAAUUAAACAAUGGGAUAUAAUAAUUUACUGAGUUUAGUUUAACUUCAAACUAUAACUUAAUUCUGGUAACAGUCAGUCUUUGGGCGAUAAGGUUCAAAGACAAAAGGGCAACAACCCAAAUCGUAUAUUAAGAUCUUUAAAUUAUAACUUAGUGGGGAAGGUUUUCAUUAAUUCAAAUAAAUAAGAGUAGGCUUAGAAGCAGCCUUCUAUUGGAGAAAGCGUUUUAGCUCAUUAUUUUUUUAAUGAAAACUUAAAAUAAUCGAGGCUUUAAGUUAUAUAUCGAAAUAACGAAUUAAUAUAAUUAAUGGUAGUGAAACGUUCUGUAAUUUACUAGUAGUAAUGUAAAAUCUAAAGUAUAUGACCAGAAGUGCUAAUGCUGACAUGAGUAACGAAAACUACGCUAGAAUCGUAGUCACCUAUUGUUCAAGGUUUUCAACGUAACUUCAAAUUCGUUGAGUUAGUCGGUCCUUAAGAAAAAAGUAAAAACUUAAUUCGAUAGGAAUUUUACCAGUUACGUACGUUAAUUAACGUGUAUAGCUUACGAGAAAACUAAAACAAACAAAAGGUUAGACUUUUAGCUUUCUCGUAAUCUCAGGAAAGACCGUAACAUAAUUGACCGUACCUAAACCGACACAGGUGAACUUGUUGAAAAUACAAAGGUGAAUGAGAGAAUUAAAUUGAAGGAACUCGGCAAAUUUACUCUGUAAGUUCGCAAUAAAGAGUACCGUUAGUUCGGUGUCACAAAAUAGAAAGCAACGACUGGUUACCAAAACCACAGGACUCUGCUAAUUAGUAAAUAAGAUGUAUAGAGUCUGACACCUGCCCAGUGCCUGAAGGUGAUAAAUUUAGGUUAAAGCUUAAAUUCUAAUCCCAGGUAAACGGCGGUUCUAACAAUAAGAAUCCUUAGGUAGCGAAAUUCCUUGACGGGUAAGUUCCGUCCCGCAUGAAUGGUGUCACGAUUGCUUUGCUGUCUCCAAUUUAAACUCAGUGAAAUUACAUAACCUAUGAAAAUGUAGGUAACCCGCAGUAAGACGGAAAGACCCUAGAUCCUUUACUUUAGUUUUGUAUUGUAAAAAUGUGUAUUCUAUGUAGUGUAAGUGGGAAUGUAAAAACAUAUUAAUGAAACACCACUUCAAAUACAAUAUUUUUUCUUAAUUUAUUUAAUGUAAAGAUAGUAUAAAACGGUAAGUUUACUUGGGACGAGUACCUCCUAAAAUGUAACGGAGGUGUACAAAAAUAAGUUACAGCUAUUCUAAAAAUAGUCAAGCGUGUAAUGGCAAUAAACUUGUUUGACAGUUAGAUUGAUAAAUCGUACUGGGACGUAAGUCGGUCAUAGUGAUCCGGUAAAAUUAUGUGGAAAAUUUACCGCUCAACAAAUAAAAGGAACUCUAGGGAUAACAGAUUCAUCAUGGCUGAGAGUCCUUAUUGACGCCAUGGUUUGAUACCUCGAUGUCGACUCAUCUUAUCCUGGAAUUGAAGCAAAUUCCAAGGGUCUAGUUGUUCGCUAGUGAAGAAGGUACGUGAGUUGGGUUCAGAACGUCGUGAGACAG
rnacentral:rRNA from 1 species